GAUGAACGCUGGCGGCGUGCUUAACACAUGCAAGUCGAACGCGAAGACCCCGCAAGGGGUUUGUAGCGUGGCAAACGGGUGAGUAACGCGUGGGCGACCUGCCUUCGAGUGGGGAUAACCUUCCGAAAGGAGGGCUAAUACCGCAUGACAUCCCAUGUUUAGAUACAUGGACAUCAAAGCCGGGGAUCGCAAGACCUGGC
rnacentral:rRNA from 1 species